rnacentral:rRNA from 1 species
AGUGAACGCUGGCGGUAGGCCUAACACAUGCAAGUCGAACGGCAGCACAGUAAGAGCUUGCUCUUACGGGUGGCGAGUGGCGGACGGGUGAGGAAUACAUCGGAAUCUACUUUUUCGUGGGGGAUAACGUAGGGAAACUUACGCUAAUGCCGCAUACGACCUACGGGUGAAAGCAGGGGAUCUUCGGACCUUGCGCGAUUGAAUGAGCCGAUGUCGGAUUAGCUAGUUGGCGGGGUAAAGGCCCACCAAGGCGACGAUCCGUAGCUGGUCUGAGAGGAUGAUCAGCCACACUGGAACUGAGACACGGUCCAGACUCCUACGGGAGGCAGCAGUGGGGAAUAUUGGACAAUGGGCGCAAGCCUGAUCCAGCCAUACCGCGUGGGUGAAGAAGGCCUUCGGGUUGUAAAGCCCUUUUGUUGGGAAAGAAAAGCAGCAGGUUAAUACCCCGCUGUUCUGACGGUACCCAGAGAAUAAGCACCGGCUAACUUCGUG